CAAACUGACUUAAAAAGACAGGGACAAUGCA
rnacentral:piRNA from 1 species